AGCGAACGCUGGCGGCAGGCUUUACACAUGCAAGUCGAACGCCCCUUCGGGGGAGUGGCAGACGGGUGAGUAACGCGUGGGAAGUCGCCUUUUGGUGGGGAAUAACGCAGGGAAACUUGCGCUAAUACCGCAUAAGCCCGUGAGGGGAAAGAUUUAUCGCCAAAAGAUAAGCCCGCGUCUGAUUAGCGAGUUGGUGAGGUAAUGGCUCACCAAGGCGACGAUCAUUAGCUGGUCUGAGAGGAUGACCAGCCACACGGUGACUGAGACCCGGCCCAUAAUCCUACGGGAGGCAGCAGUGGGGAAUAUUGGACAAUGGGCGCAAGCCUGAUCCAGCCAUGCCGCGUGAGUGAUGAAGGCCUUAGGGUUGUAAAGCUCUUUCGUGUGGGAAGAUAAUGACUGUACCACAAGAAUAAGUCCCGGCUAACUUCGUGCCAGCCGCCGCGGUAA
rnacentral:rRNA from 1 species